CCGAGUACUUAACUCAUAACCCUUUGUGAACCUUUAUAACCUGUUGCUUCGGCGGCGCGCGCCCCCCGGGGCCGCGCCCGCCGGUACCAUCAGAAUCUCUGUUUGAACCCGACGAUAUAUCUGAGUGUUCUAAGCGAACUGUUA
rnacentral:misc_RNA from 1 species